ACUCCUACGGGAGGCAGCAGUGGGGAAUAUUGCACAAUGGGGGAAACCCUGAUGCAGCCAUGCCGCGUGUGUGAAGAAGGCCUUCGGGUUGUAAAGCACUUUCAGUAGGGAGGAAGGUAGUGUAGUUAACACCUGCAUUAUUUGUACGUUACCUACAGAAGAAGCACCGGCUAACUCCGUGCCAGCAGCCGCGGUAAGUACGGAGGGUGCGAGCGUUAAUCGGAAUUACGUGGGCGUAAAGCGCAUGCAGGCGGCCUGUUAAGUCAGAUGUGAAAGCCCGGGGUCUUAACCGUCGGAAUUUGCAUUUGAAACUGGCGAGGCUAGAGUCUUGGUAGAGGGGUUAGAAUUUCAGGUGUAGCGGUGAAAUGCGUAGAGAUCUGAAGG
rnacentral:rRNA from 1 species